UCGUCGUCGUCGUCGUCGUCGUCGUCGUCGCGCGCGCAUCAUUUUUAUAAUUUGAAUAAAAAGCGCGCUUCGAAUCGAAAUUAAUGCUCAUGCGCACAAUAACGGCUCUCGAAGAUUCGAGUGAACAUAGGAGAUAGUCGCGAGAGGAAUCCCGAUUGGAGUUGGUAGCGAAAGAGAUCACGAGAGCAGCAGUAAGAGGAGGAAGAGGAGGAGGAGGAAGAGGAGGUGGUGGAGGAGGAAAGGGUGGUGAUGGUGGUGGUCAUCAUUGUUGAAGAGGAGAAGAGAGAAGAGGGAAAGGGUUUAGAAACGCAUGGCCCGACCAUUCUCAACUUUACUAUCGAGAUAAGAAGAACUGCGCGUAAGCGACAAUUCCUCUUCUUUUUCAAAAUCGGACAAUGAUACGAGUACGUAUACGCGUUACUGAAGAUAACGACAUACACCUUGCAGAUAUAUCAUCUUAUGCCGCAGUCGGUGUAUCGGCGCGCCGUGACGAAACACACGGAACGAGAGGUUGAGCAGCAACGAAGUUGCAACGGUGGGGCGACGGCGGAGAAGAAAAAGGAGGAAAAGAAGGGUGAAGUAUCGAGAUGAGUGGGGGGUUUUAGUGGAUAAGGUGGUGGGGACCCUCGUUGGAAAUCGGUGCGGCUCGAGACGGGAACCUCGUGCGUGAAACGGACAGUCGCGUCGUCGAACUGAACCGAGUCGAAUCGAAUCGAAUCGUAGUCGAACGACGAACGCCGGGGACUACUUGCGCUUCGUAUUUUGCUUAUGUAUUCUUAUUCGAGGAAGAAUAAGAAUAAGAAGAAGAAGACUUAAGAAGCUUUUGUGAACUGUUCAUUAUAAUUAUUAUCAUCAUCAUCAUCAUCAUUGAUGAGAGUAUUUCAAUCAAAUAGAAUAUUCUAAAGUGACAAAGUGUACGAGGUCUAAUAAGGAGAGGAAAUCAAAGAGGAAGAGACGAGAAUAUCGCGUAACUGUUUCGAAAGAAGCAGAGCAAAGGCAGGAGGUAGAAGUAAAGUAGAAGUAGAAGUAAAAGAAGAAGAAGAAGAAGAAGAGGAAAUAGUAAGACGCACGCGUUACGAAUCAAAAUCUCGCGUGUCCUCGUAUUCUCAUUUAUAUAUUUCUCAUCUCGUUGGCAAAAAGAGAGAGAGAGAGAGAUAGAGGAUUCUCCUUGUUCUCCCCUUCCGUGUUUGAGUGCGCCUCUCUCGGUCGUUCUCGGUGGAUCGCGGUAGCAAUUCGAAGAAUGUGACAGUGCGCGUCCUCGCGGUCGGCUCGCGCAAACGAAUCGCCCACCGGCGAUGGAUGAUGAGCGAAAAACACUGCCUGUUGCUGUUGUUCUUUUACUUGUUCUAAGUAUCGCGGUGUGAGAACGUUGAUAAGGAGGAAUAAGAAGAAUAAGAAGAAGGAAGAAGAAGAAAAAGAGAUAGAAGGGAAGGGAGAUAGAAAAGGAGAGAAAUCGAAAGUUAAACGACAAUAUCGGUAGUAGUAAAGAAAAAGAGAGAGAGAGA